GCUCAGAACGAACGCUGGCGGCGUGCCUAACACAUGCAAGUCGAGCGAGAAAGUCCCCGCAAGGGGAUGAGUAAAGCGGCGAACGGGUGAGUAACACGUGGGCAACCUGCCCUUCAGUUAGGAAUAACCCCGCGAAAGCGGGGCUAAUACCGGAUGACGUCCUUUGGGGGCAUCCUUGGAGGACCAAAGGGGGCGAGCGUAAGCGGCUCCCGCUGAAGGAUGGGCCUGCGGCUGAUUAGCUAGUUGGUGGGGUAGCGGCCUACCAAGGCGACGAUCAGUAGCCGACCUGAGAGGGUGACCGGCCACACUGGGACUGAGACACGGCCCAGACUCCUACGGGAGGCAGCAGUGGGGAAUAUUGCGCAAUGGGCGAAAGCCUGACGCAGCGACGCCGCGUGGGUGAUGAAGGCCUUCGGGUCGUAAAACCCUGUCGGGUGGAAUGAAUCUCCGCCUCGCUAAUACCGAGGUGGCUUGACGGUACCACCGAAGGAAGCCCCGGCUAACUACGUGCCAGCAGCCGCGGUAAUACGUAGGGGGCGAGCGUUGUUCGGAUUUACUGGGCGUAAAGAGCGCGUAGGCGGUUCGAUUAGUCGGAGGUGAAAUCCCUCGGCUUAACCGAGGACCCGCGUCCGAUACUGUCGAACUUGAGUGCAGGAGAGGAGAGCGGAAUUCCCAGUGUAGCGGUGAAAUGCGUAGAUAUUGGGAGGAACACCGGUGGCGAAGGCGGCUCUCUGGACUGUCACUGACGCUGAGGCGCGAAAGCUAGGGGAGCAAACGGGAUUAGAUACCCCGGUAGUCCUAGCCGUAAACGAUGGGCACUAGGUGUGGGAGGUAUCGACCCCUUCCGUGCCGCAGCUAACGCAUUAAGUGCCCCGCCUGGGGAGUACGGCCGCAAGGUGAAACUCAAAU
rnacentral:rRNA from 1 species